GCACACAACCACGGCCUGUCUGUCCAGAUCGAGCAGAACGAGUUGUCCCCCUCGCGCACAGCCGCCUCGCCGUUCCCCUGCUCCACCCCGACACCCAGCCGCCGCGCCGUUCCUCUCGUCCUCGCCGGUCUUCGGUCGGCCGGAGCCCGGAGCCCAGCCGCCCAGGAGGCUCCUUGCUCCCGCCUCCCCUUCCCGGCUUCCCACCCGCCCAGUCCAGGGCUCCAGGCGUUUGGCUCAAUUUUCUAAUUGUUGAGGAAUGAAGAGGGCCAGACGAGACAUUAUUUCUCUUUUUCCAGAAGAAGAGAAACAAUGUCUCGUCAAGGCCGGGAAUAUGUCGGAUGUGGCCGAAGAGCAAACCGGAGAACUUGUGUGUAUGCCAGAAACAUAGUCUUUUUGAACUUCUCAAGGUAUGUACUAUGGUCUGUGUAAUAUGUACUAUGUAGGCUUUUUUAUGCAAGGCAGAGAUUUAAUUGAGAAUUUUAGUGUUUUUGCAAGACCAUAUUGUGAUAUUGAUCUAUUUCUUUGUGAUAUUGGUAUUAGUUAGAACUUUCACAUGUCAUAUUGCUUAUCAAAAAAAAAAUGGGGCGGACCACCCUGGUGUCAAAUACUAGCUCCGCCACUGGACGGCAGGGAGUAUGACGAGCUCGGGGAGGAGAGGUUGGAGGGAUGGACGCGGGAGUCAAGCUGCCACGAACGACGAGUCAACAACACGUGCCGCUCGGGCACGCGACCACCGUGUCUCCCGUCAAUCCGGUCGCCCAUGAGAGGGACGAAUGCGAUCACGAGUUCAUGUCCACAUACUGGCAGUGGAGGAGGCGGAGGAGGGCUCAACACAAGGUGGAUCAUCCUUGCGUUGGGGUCGUCAACGGGGAGGAAUUGACCACUGGCAUGCAGCGGCUCAGGUCCGGAUUGCUGCGCGGCCAUGGGGCCAUGGCCAGGGUGAUCCACAAUGCCCGGGUCAACGAGUGCGUCGUUCUAGACCUCUACUCCUUCAGCACGCUGAUCCGGGGCUGCGGCCAGGUGAUCUGGAGCGUGCACGGAAGGUGUUCGAUGAACUUACCUAACAGGCAGAAACCUGGAUGAGGAAAGGGCUCUGCGGUAGAUCGAUCAAGGGAACAUACUAUUUGAGCAGUGAAAAAGAAAACGAAGGAACAGAUGGAUGAUUUCAGGUAAUGAGAGAAUCAAUCGGGCAGGAAUACCGGGAAGUCGUUGAAAGAAGGGUAUUCACUGUAACUGGUAAUCGCCUUGAUGAAGAGGAAGAAGUGAGCAGAUUUUCAAAGAUGCAGUUCAGAAGCAGGGGAGAGCCCAGAUAUUGGAUACUGUUGUUGAGAUACAGGAGCGGCAUGAUGCUGUAAGAGAUCUAGAGAGGAAGCUUCUGGAGUUGCAGAAGGUUAUACUGUUUUAAUGCACAAGCUCUUUUGCAAUUUAUUUUAUAGUUGACACUUGACACCUACCAUGCAUGCAUAUGUGAAUCGAAGGGAUUUCCUUUCCUGGGUUUUGGCUUGUAGAUAUUCCUGGAUAUGGCAGUGUUGGUUGAGGCUCAAGGAGACAUGAUCAGCCACAUAGAGACACAUGUAAGACGAUGAAUGUUUAGGGUAGUAUUUUUUUUUCAAAAAUAUGUUCAGGGUAGUGUUAGUACUCAACAAGUAAAAACACAAUUUGUGAUGCCGCCUCCACCGGUAGUGACAACACGAUCGCUGCAUUUGGUCUAUCCCGAGCCUCUGAUUGUGGUUGCUGUUCUUUCGAUAUCCGCUUGCCAUGAUAUUGUGGCUGGACUUCUGGUAUGUGUAAUGUGUUACCUCUAAAUUUUUUUAUCUGGACUAAUUAGGGCCUGCUUCUGUUUGCUCUAAUUGAUAUAAUGGUUGUGGCAUGCAGCAGCCAUGCCAACAACAGAGCCAGGCUUAGGCCUGAUAAUGACUUGACAAAUAUGGUCAAAAUGCUGGAGAUGAGGAAUCUAACGAAACUGAAGAAAUACGCGCGCGCCGGGGGGAGGGGGGGGGGGGUACUCUUAACUUUAGUUCCUUAUUAUUUUUGUAUGUUCAUUGCUAUGUAUCUGUAUAAACAUGCUUCGACCAUUGUUGUCAAUUGGCCGGCAAACGGACUGCAUAUUUCUAGCCAUGCAGAAUAAGCGGAUGAGAUGAUGUCCAUUCA